GAUGAACGCUGGCGGCGUGCCUAACACAUGCCAGUCGAACGGAGAUUACGGACGGAAGUUUUCGGAUGGAAGCCUGUAAUUCUUAGUGGCGGACGGGUGAGUAACGCGUGGGCAACCUGCCCUAUACAGGGGGAUAGCAGCUGGAAACGGCUGGUAAGACCGCAUAAGUCGGUUAAAUCGCAUGAUUUGAUCGGGAAAUGAGCAAUCAGGUAUAGGAUGGGCCCGCGUCCGAUUAGCCAGUUGGCAGGGUAAAAGCCUACCAAAGCGACGAUCGGUAGCCGGACUGAGAGGUCGGACGGCCACAUUGGGACUGAGACACGGCCCAAACUCCUACGGGAGGCAGCAGUGGGGGAUAUUGCACAAUGGAGGAAACUCUGAUGCAGCGACGCCGCGUGAGUGAAGAAGUAUUUCGGUAUGUAAAGCUCUAUCAGUAGGGAAGAUGAUGACGGUACCUGACUAAGAAGCCCCGGCUAACUACGUG
rnacentral:rRNA from 1 species